ensembl:lncRNA novel transcript
AGAGCCUUUGCAUCUCUUCCACCAGGACCACACGUGGCUGGUUACAUAUUGUUAUUCGAUUAUCAGCUGAAAUAUCACCUGUGGUAAUUAAUUUGAUGAGUCAACUUGGGUAGGCUACAGUGCUCACUUGCCUGGUCAAAUAAGAGCAAAACCAACUUGCUUGGUCUUCAUUGCCGUGAAGAUAAAUUAGGUGGGAUUAGCAUUUAAGUCAGUAGACUUUGAGUAAAACAUCUCAUCCUCCAUAAUAUGAGCGAGGCUCAUCCAACAGUUGAAGACCUUAAGAGAAAAGACUGAGGUCCCCGAAGAAGAAGAAAUUCUGCCUGCAGACUGAUUUCAGAUGCAGUAGUACAACAUCAAUCCUUCCUUGGGUUUCCAGCCUGCUGGUCUGCCCUGCAGAUUUCAGACUUGCCUGCUCCCACAGUCAUGUUUUGGACCUUUACCUAGCUUCCAACUGCCUUCUUCCACCAACAUUACUGUGCUGACCUAGGAUAAAUGGAAGCUACCAACUGCCAACUGUGCUGUCAGCUGUGUGGCCGGGUCAAAGGUGCUGGCUGAGCUUGCAAAUUCUGAAGGUUUGCCAGCAGUGAAGGUAUUUGCCUUAGAGGGAAAUGAUGCCUUGUACAUAUCUCAUCCCACAGUGCUGCUGAAUGCGUCCAUUUCAGGCAAUGCCCAAUUUGGAGAAAAGAAGAAGUGCAAAAAAAGAUGUUUCUUUGACCUCACCGCAAAUACGUAAAACCACCUGCAGAUCCACAGCCACUCUAAUCUUUGCCUUGGGCACACCCUUUUGCUUUAACAGUAGAGAAGAAACAAGUUUCUGUUCCCUCCGAGUGCUGGGAAGUGGCAUGACAGCUGGUUUCCAUGAGCAGAGCACAUACUCCAACCCUGCAAAGAAAAAACUCCCCACAAUGCUCUUUUAUCUAUUAAACUAAAGGGGGUUUUAUUACACUUUUGUACAUUCAAUACAUUUAUCUAAAUUUUUCUCGCAUUGAAUUAUUGUCAAGAAAAGGCUGUUCUUGCAUAUAUAUAUGUGUGUGUAUAUAUAUAUGUACUUGUGAUCAUGCAUAACUUAAAUGCUAAAUUUCUGAUUUUUUUGGAGAGGAUAACAUUUAGAAAAAAAUCUAUUGACUAAACAAAAAUCAUUUGACACAUGAGGUCAAACCUUAAUUUAGCUGUAGGAAUCAUUGUCGUAUCAAUGUGGAAGUAGAAAUAGCACUAAAAGAAUGUUCUUUUUCUCCUGAAAGAUGCACCCUCUGACCCACUUUGUGACACAUAGUGAGGAGUUCAGUAACUAUAAAUGUUACCGAUGACUCUUAUCCUUGGUUUAACUCUGGGUUCUUCUAAAUGCUUAUGUAGAGUACAAAUUAUCUGCUGAAGAGUAGCCAAGGUUGCCAAGUGAACAGCACUGAAGACGUCAGAAGGGAGUGAAGUUUGGAAGUGAAACAGCAGCCUUUAAAUAGCCCGACAACACACAUCAUGAGAUGACUUCAGUGGAUCUCCCAUCACUACGGAUUGGCUGUAAAGGAAAAAUCCUCUUAAGUGUUUAAUCCAGAAGAUAACUUUUUAUUCAAUUACUACCAGUAUAAUUACUAUACUAUUGUUCAAGAUUUUAUUCGUUCUUCCUUUUUUUGUCCACUUUGUCUUUUCUUCCUCUAGAAAUUCAGAACCUGAAUGAUUUCUCAUUUGAGUCAAUUUUGAUCACUGCAAUCAUUAAAUUAGACAUAAUUUAGAAACUUCUAAUGAAAAAAGAACAUAAUUAAGCCAAAUUAUCAGAAGUUUUAAGGAUUGAAAAUAUUAUCAAACAAUUUUUAAUAGUAUUUUUUCUAAUAAAAAUUCUGAGACAUUGGAUGAAUUAAGAUCUAUUGAUAUGAAAGAAUGCUCAUGUAACUAUGGAAAAGAAAUUAACAUUUAGUUAGUGUUCUAAUAUGCCA